rnacentral:rRNA from 1 species
GUCUACGGCUAUGCUACCCUGAACAAGCCUGAUCCCAUCUGAUCUCUGAAGCUAAGCAGGCUUGGGCCUGGUUAGUACUUGGUUGAGAGACCACCUAGGAAGACCAGGUGCUAUAGAUG